GCCUAACACAUGCAAGUCGAACGAACCCUUCGGGGUUAGUGGCGCACGGGUGCGUAACGCGUGGGAAUCUGCCCUUUGCUUCGGAAUAACAGUUAGAAAUGACUGCUAAUACCGGAUGAUGUCUUCGGACCAAAGAUUUAUCGGCAAGGGAUGAGCCCGCGUAGGAUUAGGUAGUUGGUGGGGUAAAGGCCUACCAAGCCGACGAUCCUUAGCUGGUCUGAGAGGAUGAUCAGCCACACUGGGACUGAGACACGGCCCAGACUCCUACGGGAGGCAGCAGUGGGGAAUAUUGGACAAUGGGCGCAAGCCUGAUCCAGCAAUGCCGCGUGAGUGAUGAAGGCCUUCGGGUCGUAAAGCUCUUUUACCAGGGAUGAUAAUGACAGUACCUGGAGAAUAAGCUCCGGCUAACUCCGUGCCAGCAGCCGCGGUAAUACGGAGGGAGCUAGCGUUGUUCGGAAUUACUGGGCGUAAAGCGCACGUAGGCGGCGACACAAGUCAGAGGUGAAAGCCCGGGGCUCAACCCCGGAACUGCCUUUGAAACUAGGUUGCUAGAAUCUUGGAGAGGUCAGUGGAAUUCCGAGUGUAGAGGUGAAAUUCGUAGAUAUUCGGAAGAACACCAGUGGCGAAGGCGACUGACUGGACAAGUAUUGACGCUGAGGUGCGAAAGCGUGGGGAGCAAACAGG
rnacentral:rRNA from 1 species